AUGUACAAAACUGAAAUUUCGAUACGCAAAACUAACCCUUUACUCCGCUUUCUUUCUCAUAGCAUCCCAUCUUCCUUCCAGCAUCAGCACUUCAUCCCCACAAUGCUCAACACCACUCUGAAUCCCGCCACCAACCUCUACGUAAACUCUACCAUCCCUGGUGGCCCCCGUGAACCUCCACCAUGGUACCAAUUCCCAGUAUGUGCCGUGGCCCCGUACGGCUUCAUUUUCUACUUUGGGGUCAAGGUGUUUAACCUGGCAGUGGGAACACCCUGUAACGCCCUGGUCAUCUGGCAGAUUGCAACCAGGAAAAGUGAUGCGUCCACCUCUGACAUUUUCAUCUUCAACCUGGCCAUCUUAGAUGCCUACUUCUGCCUAAUGACGCCCAUAGAGAUGGUUAACCGCCUGCUGCUAGAUGACAGUCGCAUUUGGUACUCGCAGAGGUUCGCCUACGGGAUUAAGGAUGUAGCGCCACUCUUUCUGGUGUGUAUCUGUCUAGACCGCUACAUGGCCGUGGUCCACCCAGUACUGUUCACUGGUAUCCGAGACAAUAAGAUCCGCAUUGGAAUUUCAGUGGUGGUCUGGGGCCUCAUCCUGGCUUACGGCCUCACCAAGUGCACCCUGGGAGUCAUGAGCGUCAAUGAGGUCUUCAGCGGUGUCAUCCUCUUUGCCUUUGCAGUCAUGGUCUUCUGCAACAUUUCCGUCAUCUGGGUCCUUAGACGUUCCGUGGCAGGAAAGGAGCAGAUGCACCCGGUGAAGAAGAAGGCCUUCAAGAUGGUCCUGAUCAUCCUCGCCAUCAUUGUGGCCAACUACCUGCCGCCAGUGGCUCUCAUGCCCUUCGUGUCGUACUACUCGUUCGUGGCGUUCCGCUGCCAGAUCAGCAUCAGCGUGUUCUCCAUCAUGGAUCUGAGCUGCAGCCUUGAGCCUCUCCUCUACAUCACCAAGAUGGAGCGCGUGGACGGCAGGUGCUGUGGGCGGAGCUUCUCUAAGAAGCCGCAAGAUGUCAAGGUGUGA
rnacentral:lncRNA from 1 species